rnacentral:rRNA from 1 species
UACGGAGGGUGCAAGCGUUAAUCGGAAUAACUGGGCGUAAAGCGCACGCAGGCGGUUCGAUAAGUCAGAUGUGAAAGCCCCGGGCUCAACCUGGGAACUGCAUUUGAAACUGUCGAACUAGAGUCUUGUAGAGUUCCAGGUGUAGCGGUGAAAUGCGUAGAGAUCUGGAGGAAUACCGGUGGCGAAGGCGGCCCCCUGGACAGAGACUGACGCUCAGGUGCGAAAGCGUGGGGAGCAAACAGG